AUUGAACGCUGGCGGCAUGCCUUACACAUGCAAGUCGAACGGUAACGGGCCUUCGGGUGCCGACGAGUGGCGAACGGGUGAGUAAUGUAUCGGAACGUACCUUUCAGUGGGGGAUAACGUAGCGAAAGUUACGCUAAUACCGCAUAUUCUGUGAGCAGGAAAGAAGGGGAUCGCAAGACCUGUCGGUGAUUGAGCGGCCGAUAUCAGAUUAGCUAGUUGGUGAGGUAAAGGCGCACCAAGGCGACGAUCUGUAGCGGGUCUGAGAGGAUGAUCCGCCACACUGGAACUGAGACACGGUCCAGACUCCUACGGGAGGCAGCAGUGGGGAAUUUUGGACAAUGGGGGCAACCCUGAUCCAGCCAUGCCGCGUGAGUGAAGAAGGCCUUCGGGUUGUAAAGCUCUUUCGGCCGGGAAGAAAUCGUAUCAGCUAAUACCUGGUGCGGAUGACGGUACCGGCAUAAGAAGCACCGGCUAACUACGUGCCAGCAGCCGCCGCCGUAA
rnacentral:rRNA from 1 species